rnacentral:rRNA from 1 species
AACGAACGCUGGCGGCAGGUCUUAGGCAUGCAAGUCGAACGGGUGUAGCAAUACAUCAGUGGCGCACGAGUGAGUAACGCGUGGGAAUUUGCCCAUCGGUGGGGAAUAACGUUUGGAAACGAACGCUAAUACCGCAUACGUCGAGAAAUCGAGAAAGAUUAUCGCCGAUGGAUAAGCCCGCGUUGGAUUAGCUUGUUGGUAGGGUAAUGGCCUACCAAGGCGAUGAUCCAUAGCUGGUCUGAGAGGACGAUCAGCCACGCUGGGACUGAGACACGGCCCAGACCCCUACGGGAGGCAGCAGCUAAGAAUAUUGGACAAUGGAGGAAACUCUGAUCCAGCCAUGCCGCGUGAGUGAAGAAGGCCUUCGGGUUGUAAAGCUCUUUUAGUCGUGAGGAUGAUGACGGUAGCGACAGAAAAAGCACCGGCUAACUUCGUGCCAGCCGCCGCCGUAA